AUUGAACGCUGGCGGCAUGCCUUACACAUGCAAGUCGAACGGCAGCAUGAUCUAUCUUGCUAGAUUGAUGGCGAGUGGCGAACGGGUGAGUAAUACAUCGGAACGUGCUCUGUAGUGGGGGAUAACUAGUCGAAAGAUUAGCUAAUACCGCAUACGACCUGAGGGUGAAAGGGGGGGACUGCAAGGCCUCAUGCUAUAGGAGCGGCCGAUGUCUGAUUAGCUAGUUGGUGAGGUAAAGGCUCACCAAGGCGACGAUCAGUAGCUGGUCUGAGAGGACGAUCAGCCACACUGGGACUGAGACACGGCCCAGACUCCUACGGGAGGCAGCAGUGGGGAAUUUUGGACAAUGGGCGAAAGCCUGAUCCAGCAAUGCCGCGUGUGUGAAGAAGGCCUUCGGGUUGUAAAGCACUUUUGUCCGGAAAGAAAUGGCUCUCGUUAAUACCUGGGGUCGAUGACGGUACCGGAAGAAUAAGGACCGGCUAACUCCGUG
rnacentral:rRNA from 1 species